UAGAAAGAUGGGACUUGAACCCACACCUAAAAACUCAAAAUUUUUAGCACUUCAUUAUACUACUUCCU
rnacentral:tRNA from 1 species